rnacentral:rRNA from 1 species
CGUGCGCAGCUUACCAUGCAGUCGAACGGGGCUAUCUGGAAAGAGACUUCGGUCAAUGGAAGGAUAGCCUAGUGGCGGACGGGUGAGUAACGCGUGAGUAACCUGCCUAGGAGUGGGGAAUAACAGUCCGAAAGGAUUGCUAAUACCGCAUAAUGCAGUUGGGUCGCAUGGCCCUGACUGCCAAAGAUUUAUCGCUCUUAGAUGGACUCGCGUCUGAUUAGCUAGUUGGCGGGGUAAAGGCCCACCAAGGCGACGAUCAGUAGCCGGACUGAGAGGUUGGCCGGCCACAUUGGGACUGAGAUACGGCCCAGACUCCUACGGGAGGCAGCAGUGGGGAAUAUUGGGCAAUGGGCGAAAGCCUGACCCAGCAACGCCGCGUGAAGGAAGAAGGCUUUCGGGUUGUAAACUUCUUUUAAGAGGGACGAAAAAAAUGACGGUACCUCUUGAAUAAGCCACGGCUAACUACGUGCCAGCAGCCGCGGUAAUACGUAGGUGGCAAGCGUUAUCCGGAUUUACUGGGUGUAAAGGGCGUGUAGGCGGGACUGUAAGUCAGGCGUGAAAACCAUGGGCUCAACCCAUGGCCUGCGUUUGAAACUAUAGUUCUUGAGUGUCGGAGAGGCAAUCGGAAUUCCGUGUGUAGCGGUGAAAUGCGUAGAUAUACGGAGGAACACCAGUGGCGAAGGCGGAUUGCUGGACGAUAACUGACGCUGAGGCGCGAAAGCGUGGGGAGCAAACAGGAUUAGAUACCCUGGUAGUCCACGCUGUAAACGAUGGAUACUAGGUGUGGGGGGUCUGACCCCCUCCGUGCCGCAGUUUAACA